UUUUACUGCUAGGGGUGCCUGUUGCGCGGGCUGAGAAAAAAACCGAUCUGUUUUUUACCCUUUGGACCUGAUCUGGAUUAUACCAGCGUGGGAAAGUAGUCAUUAAGGGAA
rnacentral:ncRNA from 2 species